GCGAACUUUCCAAAUAUUUCUUCAAAUCUGUUUACAUUUUUCACACGUCAGCGGCUAAUAGAGCUAUUAUAUGUGUGGCCUUAAACAUGUUUACGUACUAUUUCUAUUUCAAUAUCAGUUCAGAUAUUCGUAUUCCUUGGUUGUGGUAAGAUAGUGUAGUGAUAUCCUUUUUGCGUAAAGAGCUGUUUGCAGUAAUAACUAAUUGUACGGAUUUCUACUUACAUUAAAAUCGUUACACUUUAAAAUGCAGAUAUUUGAAAUAAAACUGUGCAUCCUUCAACACUUUCUAUGUGGUAUAAUGUUUACUACUGUGAUACAUAUAUACAAGGGGAACAUCGGUCUACCGAAAAUAAAUCAUAUCAGGAACUUGGUUAUCGUUUAUCAAAAGAUGUAGUGCCACUACAUUAUGAUAUCACCCUGGAUUUCAUUUCUGAAAGGCUGGAUAUUUUAAGUGGCAAAUGCAAAAUUGAUGUUGAAAGUUUGAAAUCAACGUCAAAUAUAAGAUUACACAGUCCCGAUACGAUUGAAGAAAGCUCGAUAAAGUUGGCUAUGAAUGGUACGACAUAUAAACCUAUAAACAAAACACUCCAAGGAAGAGAACGUCCUUGAUCUUUAUUUCGAGGACCAGCUAUCUCCUGGACGUUAUUCCUUAACGAUACAUUACAGUAAAGAUAUCGGUGAUGAUAAAAAGGAAGGAGAUUUUUUCAAAAUUAUAUUCAAGCCUGCAACAAGGAAUAGAUGGUUGGCAACAAAUAUUAACUCUGUUGAAGCUCGAAAAUGGUUUCCAUGUUGGGACGAGCCGGAAUUUAAAACAACAUUUAACUUUACAUUCUAUCAUCACAGGAGAUUUAAGAUAUGGCCAGCCUUACCAAAUGCAACAUCUAUAGGACUUGAGUACAAAAAGGAAUGGCGCUUGACAAAUUUUUUCAUUGCAGUUAAUAUAUCUACUUACCAAUUGAUGUUUGUAGUAACUGAGAUACCUCUUUUCUCACACUGAAUAUACGUCAUAUUCUGCAUCAUGCGAACUUCAUAAAGUAAAUGAGGACAAUACGAUAUUAAGUAGAGCUCCCGUGGAAAAUUCGAUGAAAUUUUCAGAUGUUGUGAUUGAGAAGAUCCUAAAUUUUGAGUGGUACUGCAAAAUUCUUCUAACUGAUAUCAAUAUAAAUCAACUUGCACUUCCAGCUGUACCAGAGGAUGUCAUCGCAAAAUGGAGGCUCAUUCUUUAUAAAGAACCUCUUGUUACUUAUGAUAAAGAAAUAGAUAGCAGUGCCCACGAACGGGAGGUAGCAAGCACAGUAGUACGUGGAAUGGUAUAUCAGGUGAUAGAUAAUGCAAUCACACCGUCGUAGUGGUCUCACUUAUGGUUAAAUAAAGGGCUUGCCGCUCUUCUUCAUGUGGAAAUUCUCGAUGAGAGUUUCUCGAAAUGGCGAUUACUGGAUUUGUUCGUGGUUCAAGUUCAACAAGACUGUCUUCGUCUCGACACAGAUUCUACUAUGAAGCCUCUUUUAUAUGAAGUACAAACGUCAUCCGAAAUUAAAUCACUUUUCUCUUUUCCAAUUUAUGUCAAAGGUAGGCCAGAAUAAAAAUUAAUAAGCGACGCUCUGUAAUUGUUUAACAGUAAUUAAUAUAAGAAAAUUGAAAAGUUAUUUGUAAUCAAUUGUUACUAUGUAUCGUAUUUAUGUCUUGUUGUUAGCAUGUAACUCUUUUGUUAUGCAAAAUAUAUUUGAAAAGCAUAUGUUUUACUUAAAAAAGAAUACAUCUA